rnacentral:rRNA from 1 species
UUUUAAAUGGCCGCAGUAUUUUGACUGUGCAAAGGUAGCAUAAUCAUUAGUUUUUUAAUUAAAAGCUUGUAUGAAAGGCUGGACGAGGUAAAAUCUGUCUCUAUUUAAAUUAUAGUAGAAUUUAACUUUUAAGUUAAAAGGCUUAAAUAUUAUUAAAAGACGAGAAGACCCUAUAGAUCUUUAUAGUUUAUUAAAUUAAAUUAAUUUAGAAAUAUUAAUGUUUUAUUUAAUUAAAUUAUUUUAUUGGGGUAAUAAAAAGAUUGAAUUAAUUCUUUUUUACGAUAAACAUUAAUUUAUGAAUAUUAAUGAUCCAGUUUUACUGAUUAUAAGAUUAAGUUACCUUAGGGAUAACAGCGUAAUUUUUUUAGAGAGUUCAUAUCGAUAAAAAAGUUUGCGACCUCGAUGUUGGAUUAAAGAUUAUUUUAGGUGUAGAAGCUUAAUAAUUUUGGUCUGUUCGACCAUUAAAUCUUUACAUGAUCUGAGUUCAGACCGGCGUAAGCCAGGUCGGUUUCUAUCUUUAAUAAAAUAAAAUAUUUUAGUACGAAAGGACCAAAUAUUUGAUAUAUUUAUAUUUAAUUUAUUGAAUAUUA